GACUAAAACUAUCAAGAACAUUUGGCACAAGACUAAGACUAAAUUAAAAAGAGGAGACAAAAUUAACACUACUGCUCCUGCACAAC